rnacentral:rRNA from 1 species
UACGUAGGCAGCGAGCGUUGUUCGGAAUUACUGGGCGUAAAGAGUGUGUAGGCGGUGCUCUAAGUUCGGUGUGAAAUCUCCUGGCUCAACUGGGAGGGUGCGCCGGAAACUGGAGUGCUUGAGCGUGGGAGAGGAAAGCGGAAUUCCUGGUGUAGCGGUGAAAUGCGUAGAUAUCAGGAGGAACACCUGUGGUGUAGACGGCUUUCUGGACCAUAGCUGACGCUGAGACACGAAAGCGUUGGGUAGCAAACAGG